AGGCUGGGGCAAGAGCCUGUUGGAGUGACAGGUGGGGAAGGGAGGAAGUUACGGCAGCGUUCCUCUUCAGAGUCGCCACGGCCCAGGACCUUCCUCUUUGACCUGUGGAUUAACAGACAGCAGGACAGGUUCUCAGGUGCACAUUUUCACAAAGGCUGGUUGCAGAGAAGGCAGGGCUUUGGGAGUAGUGCUGGGAACUGCGGAAUCCAUCUUUCCUGAGCUUGUCACACUCUGGAGAGGUUGACUUUGGCCUGAUGGUGAAGGUCCUCGACGCAGGCUGGUCUGGAUCCUGGCAGGAAGACAUUCUCCUGUUGGUGCCAGGGGGCUGUGUAGUGCACCGACCACUUGCUCUCCUCAUCUAGACUGGACACCGCUAUAAGAAACAAGGACACAUUAAAAUUCAACAUGUUUAAAGGAUGAAGAGACAUCUGUCUGCACAUCUGAUGUAAGUGAAGGGAGCAGCUUGCCUGGUGGAUGGGAUGAGAUUUUAACAUAGCCCUAAGAAAUCAGCAAUGUCGUCUGCCAAGAACUUGAGGCUUAGUCAGCAUUACACACUCUACAAUCUUUCAGUGUAAAGUCCAAACUAAAACUUUGCUCUAAACAAGCGUGUGUUAAGACUGCAUAUGAAAAAGGAUUAAUAUUACAUGCAAUAUGUACACAUUUAGUUCUGGAUUUAACUUCAGAUGCAGUGUGUUUAAUCUGAGCAAACUGUCCCAGUGGCUUCUGGAAAAUCAGAUUGGUUUAUAACAACAUAUUACGACUGCAGAACAGUUUGUAAAUUCAUUUUUUACAAUUUGCAGAUAUAAAAGUAAAAAUGACAAAAUUACUAAAAUAUAAAAAGAAAAUCUAAUUUAAAUAAAACUGUCCUGAUUCAUGAACAAAUCAUUCUUUUGAGUCAGAUUGCUUUGACUUUUCUGGUGCUUUUUUAAGGUUUUAGUCCCCAUUCCUUGUAAUCAUCUGGAAAACAGGGGUCAGUAUGUUAUUCAACAUAUUUACUUUUCUAUUCCACAGAAGAAAGAAAGUCUUACAGGUUUGGAAUGACAUCAGAGUAAGAAAUUAUGACAAAUUUGAAGUUUACUGUGAAAUAUCCUUUUAAAGACAGCUAAAACCUAACAUUCCUGUAUUCUCUUUAUGGAGCAGAUUAUCAAGAAAUCUCUCUUUAGUUCAGAAACACUUACUGCUAUUGUGUAUCUCCGCACUAGGCUUGUCAUGGCCUGCCUCCUUCCAGACUUCAAACUGGGCAACACAUUAAACUAUACUUUAAUCAUCGCUCUUCUACUUUUCGCCAUCAAAAACUUGUCAAAACCUAUCAAGGGUCUAUCUCUGAAGUUUUAACACCUGCUAAUACCACUGGCCAUUCUUUGUUAUGCCAACAGAAAAUAUAAAGUGAGAGAAUUAAUCUAUC